UUGGUGACCAGCGGAGGGAUCAUUACCGAGUUUACAACUCCCAAACCCAAUGUGAACGUUACCAAACUGUUGCCUCGGCGGGAUCUCUGCCCCGGGUGCGUCGCAGCCCCGGACCAAGGCGCCCGCCGGAGGACCAACCUAAAACUCUUUUUGUAUACCCCCUCGCGGGUUUUUUAUAAUCUGAGCCUUCUCGGCGCCUCUCGUAGGCGUUUCGAAAAUGAAUCAAAACUUUCAACAACGGAUCUCUUGGUUCUGGCAUCGAUGAAGAACGCAGCGAAAUGCGAUAAGUAAUGUGAAUUGCAGAAUUCAGUGAAUCAUCGAAUCUUUGAACGCACAUUGCGCCCGCCAGUAUUCUGGCGGGCAUGCCUGUCCGAGCGUCAUUUCAACCCUCGAACCCCUCCGGGGGGUCGGCGCUGGGGAUCGGCCCUCCCUUAGCGGGUGGCCGUCUCCGAAAUACAGUGGCGGUCUCGCCGCAGCCUCUCCUGCGCAGUAGUUUGCACACUCGCAUCGGGAGCGCGGCGCGUCCACAGCCGUUAAACACCCAACUUCUGAAAUGUUGACCUCGGAUCAGGUAGGAAUACCCGCUGAACUUAAGCAUAUCAAUA
rnacentral:rRNA from 1 species